rnacentral:rRNA from 1 species
AGAGUUUGCUCAUGGCUCAGGAUGAACGCUGGCGGCGUGCCUAACACAUGCAAGUCGAACGGAUUUUUCAUGAAGCCUAGCGAUUGAAAAGUUAGUGGCGGACGGGUGAGUAACGCGUGGGUAACCUGCCUUGUACUGGGGGACAACAGUUGGAAACGACUGCUAAUACCGCAUAAGCGCACAGCUUCGCAUGAAGCAGUGUGAAAAACUCCGGUGGUACAAGAUGGACCCGCGUCUGAUUAGCUGGUUGGUGAGGUAACGGCCACCAAGGCAACGAUCAGUAGCCGGCCUGAGAGGGUGAACGGCCACAUUGGGACUGAGACAGGCCCAAACUCCUACGGGAGGCA